GGCGCCGUGGCGUAGUGGUUAGCGCGCCUGCCUGUAGCGCAGAGGUAAUGGGUUCAAGGCUCGUCGCUGCUA
rfam:Ciona intestinalis ciona0075, whole genome shotgun sequence.